rnacentral:rRNA from 1 species
CCUACGGGAGGCAGCAGUGAGGAAUAUUGGUCAAUGGGCGCGAGCCUGAACCAGCAAAGCAGCGUGAAGGAUGACUGUCCUACGGGUUGUAAACUUCUUUUAUAAAGGAAUAAAGUGAGGCACGUGUGCCUUUUUGAAUGUACUUUAUGAAUAAGGAUCGGCUAACUCCGUGCCAGCAGCCGCGGUAAUACGGAGGAUCCGAGCGUUAUCCGGAUUUAUUGGGUUUAAAGGGAGCGUAGAUGGGUUGUUAAGUCAGUUGUGAAAGUUUUCGGCUCAACCGUAAAAUUGAAAUUGAUACUGGCAGUCUUGAGUACAGUUGAGGUAGGCGGAAUUCGUGGUGUAGCGGUGAAAUGCUUAGAUAUCACGAAGAACUCCGAUUGCGAAGGCAGCUUACUAGACUGCCACUGACAUUGAUGCUCGAAAGUGUGGGUAUCAAACAGGAUUAGAUACCCGAGUAGUC